GUCUCAAGAAUCACGUUCAGAAACAUCUCAGAGACCUGUGCUUUCUCCUUCAAUGUACCCAGUGCACCAAGAUCACACCUACCUCUGCCAUGGAUUCAGCCUUGUAUCUGCCCCUAUCCUAGCAGCUUUAACAUCCCACUGCAGAUCUUCAAAUAAGCAACCCGGUUUGCUAACAAGGGAGCCAUCAGCAUGACAUCAGCAGGAGGAACAGAGACAAAUUCAACGGGAACACUGCACCAAGGGCAGAGUGGAAGCUGUACUUACCUCACAGAGACUUCCAGGCUCUCAGACAGAUUAAAUUGGAAUAGAACGA
rnacentral:lncRNA from 1 species